AAAUGGUAGCUGGUCCCAGCUGGUUUAUGGUUAAAUUCCCAGCUGGUCCCAGCUGGGAAUUUAACCAUAAACCAGCUGGGACCAGCAACAU
rnacentral:pre_miRNA from 1 species